rnacentral:tRNA from 1 species
AGGGGUGUAGCUCAAUUGGUAGAGUAGCGGUCUCCAAAACCGUUGGUUGCGGGUUCGACUCCCUCCGCCCCUGCCA